CGAUCCCGGUUCAUUGCGCCGCACCCGCACGUCUCCCAUGAACCCCCACCACUACCCACCUGCUCGACGCCAGUUUCUACCGUCCCAAUCUGCUCGCCCGUUGCACGACCGUGGGUCGCGCCGGCUCUUUUUGGACGCGACCGCGGCCCCUGCAGCGCCGGCGGCAGUCACGCCGUUGCCGCCUGACGCAGGCCACCCUCCAUCUCGACGCUUCGCCGCUGCAUCUCAUCAGCGCCGUAAAGGAAGAAUGCGGCCUCGCGGGACUGGACGGCGGGUUCUGAUCGGCAGGCGUGGUCCUGUCCGCUCGGAUCAGCUUGGGGAUGAAGCGAUUCGGGAGGAAGAAGGGCACGCAUGGUGAUGUGCAGACGGGUCUCCACCUCCAAGUUCCUCGUGAACCCCCACUAUUGUCUAUUGCUGCCGACGCCUAUCCCCAACCAACGAGUUGCAGGCGACGAGCAGACGCCCGACAAUGUGCCUUGAAGCCCCAUACCUGUCCGGCUCCGACCCGAACACCGCCUGCACUGCCUCUGUGGCUAUGUCCAGGUGUUGAGCGCCAGGACAACUUCUUGCAAACUUCUCCAGGCUCUAAGGUAGAAUCUGACUGGUUCCUUGUGCUUUCCCAUUGUUAUCAGACUGUACUUCAGCUCCUGUUCAUUUGUUUGGUUUUUGCCUGAGAUGGAUCCAGCAACUGAUGUCUUCUUGGUAUUUUUUCUUUGUGGAUUACUAAUUCAAGUUUGCAGUAAAGAGAGGAUUGGGAAUUGUAGAAUCCACAGUUUGUUGGCUGAGGGAUGCUGGUUCCUCAGAUAAGAACUAGAUGUUUAUUUGUUGGUUGAGGGAUUCCUGUUCAGAUAACUAGAGCUUUAUUAAUUUCCCUUUUUCUCUUAUAAACGAAUUGAUGAGUUUUAUUGGUGAAUAUGUCUAGAUGAGUUCCUGUUCAAAAUUCAGAUAUGCAACUUGUUUUCAUUCAGUGAUGUAAAUGUUCAGAUGUGCAUGCUUCCUACUGGCUGAUAUGCAUUCAUUUCAUCCAAGAGAUGCUGAUCUGAUUUGUCAAUCCAAAUUUGGUGCUAGGUGCAGGCUUGGUUUGAUCACCUGAUAUGAGUUAAUAUAUUUGGAUCAAUAUACUUUGUUAAUCAUUCCAGAUGUUUUUGAAGCUUUGCACUUGAAAACAUUGUGGUUCAUGAGCUUGCCUGAUCAAUAUGCCUUUUUUUAUCUGAAAUGAUUAUGGUAUGCCCGAUUGGCUUCUUUUUUUAGCCCCUGCGUUGUGGGUUGCUGUUUUUCCAGUGAUGACAGGAUGGGUCCUGCUGCCGAGCCCAUUCUUACUGACAAGCUGUAGGCGGCGAGCAGAAGGCCAACAUUGUGACGUGAAUUCCCCAACCUCUGCUGGCUCCAACCCAAACACAACCUUUGGAGCAUCCUUUGUGCAGGUGUUGAGCGCCAGGCCUAUCUUCUUGUGAAACUUCCAUGUGCUGAGAUUAGGUUCCUGCCUGCAGCUUUGAUCUGGUUACCCAUUUUUCCCAUUCUAUUCUUCAACUCCCAUUCAUUUUGUUUUAGCUCUUGCAUGAGAUGGGUCCUGCAAACUUUUUCUUCUUGAUAUUAAUAUACAUAUUUUUUAAAUUGAUUACUAGUUAAAGUUAUGUAGUAGAGGGUGGACCAGAGUGCCACUUCCGUAGUUGUUAUAUGAACUAGCCGUUGAUUAAUUUUCUGGAAUCCUGUCAGUAUCCGGUAUUCUUAAAUUGCAUGUGUUGAACUUUAGGCAUGCCUUUCAAUAUUGAUAUAUCUAUGUAUGUGGUAGCCGAUGUUACAGAUUUAAGGUUCCUGGAUUUUACAGCUUAUAAAUUGUUUGCUUAGGAGUUAGGACACCUUGCAGUGAGAUGGCAUCCAAUAAUCUCUGUUGCUUUGUUCGAUUUGGUUGGCACUACUCUUAAUAAUAAGUCAAUCAAUACAGUUUCUGCUGAAAGUAGAUGCUGUUUUUCCUUAACCACAGUUAGGUGCAACUGUUCUGGGUCUUCUUAGCUUUAGCAAAAAUAUUUGGGUUUUUAUUUUCGUCUCAGAAGCGAUAAAUGAUUGUGGUUAAGAACUAAUCUUUCCAAGUUCAUUCAAGGAAAGAAAUUUUCCACCUGAUGUACUGAUCUUCCUACUUUUUUCAUUCCCCUUCAAAUCUCAGUAAUAGCAAACUUGAGAAUUAGAAUUAGAUUCAGUUAGAAACUGCAAUAUUUUGGUUUCUAUAUCCUGGCGGUAGAAGAGUACUAGGAACUGUUGGGUGUCCUAACUGAAGAGACUAAGUUUUUUUUUUAUACUGUAUGCUAGUAAACUAGUAUGCCAUAUACCCAGCUUUCUAUGAUAACAAUUUGAGAUUAACUGAGUGCCACGGAUUGUUGUAUUCGAGUUGGAAAAUACUUGCAUAAUUUUACAUAUCAUUGAAUUUUUUGUGUGCUCGCACAGCAUUAUUUGCAAUCCGACUUCUGUUCACUAGUUUCAUUAUAACAUGGUCUGUGCGUGAAGAGAUCUUUGCAUUCAAAUACAUCAUUAUUUGCAAUAAGAAAAACUAAAUCAAUGCCAGAUUACAUAAAAUCUAUUUUUUUGUGUGUUUGCACAUGAUAUUACUUGCCUUCAGGCUACUUUGGUUCCAAAAUGACUUUUAUGGUUAAUCCAUUUUAUAUGGAAGACAGUGAAGCUUUUGCAUGUACAUCUUAUUACUUGGAACGAGAAACCAAGACUGCGUGUAAUUAAAGUUUUGUGGUCACACAUCAUCCUAUUUAUGGUCAGGUCAGUUUGGUUGCAAACAACUUAGGUCUUAUGGUUCAGUCGCUUCAUUUUGGAAGAUAGCAAGAUUUUACAUGUAAAUAUGCCACUAUUUGCCACAAGGAACCUAUCUUGAUUCUUGAUGUUUUUCCAGUGAUAUAUAAUUUAUGGUUAUACUACAUUGCAUAUAAUUGAAUUUUUAUUCUCAGAGUCAGACAUGACACCACUUGUGGCGAGGUUAUUUCAGUUGCAAGGAUUCACUCACUUCAAUUGGAAUGUAGCAAGGUUUCUGCACCUAUAUUUCAUUAUUUACAAUUACACAAUCAUAGAAGCUUUUCUAUCCACAUGUGACAUUGUUAUACGCAACCUUUUGUUAUCAUGUUCUAUUGCAAGCUCGGGCGGCAGUGAGUACAACGAGGUCACAAGCAAACUUCAGGAACGAAUACACUAACAGAGAUUGCGACGAGCUCACUAUGGUCUGCUUCUGAUUAAGACACCAGGAAUUAGUAGUGCAAUGCAUAAAAAGUUGUACUAUUGUUUAGAUGUCCACAUGUUUCAAUAUGUUGUUUUCACGAUCCGAUUUCAGUCUGUUUGUGUACAAGUAGGUCACAAGCAAAGUGACUACGAGGCUGAUGACAUUGGUUACAGAGAAGAUAGAGAACAAAGAUUCAUUAACCAAUUAGUAUUCUUGGGACAUGUGGCUGCUCAGUCUAUUGCAAAA